rnacentral:rRNA from 1 species
GAUGAACGCUGGCGGCGUGCCUAAUACAUGCAAGUCGAGCGAACAGACGAGGAGCUUGCUCCUCUGACGUUAGCGGCGGACGGGUGAGUAACACGUGGAUAACCUACCUAUAAGACUGGGAUAACUUCGGGAAACCGGAGCUAAUACCGGAUAAUAUAUUGAACCGCAUGGUUCAAUAGUGAAAGACGGUUUUGCUGUCACUUAUAGAUGGAUCCGCGCCGCAUUAGCUAGUUGGUAAGGUAACGGCUUACCAAGGCGACGAUGCGUAGCCGACCUGAGAGGGUGAUCGGCCACACUGGAACUGAGACACGGUCCAGACUCCUACGGGAGGCAGCAGUAGGGAAUCUUCCGCAAUGGGCGAAAGCCUGACGGAGCAACGCCGCGUGAGUGAUGAAGGUCUUCGGAUCGUAAAACUCUGUUAUUAGGGAAGAACAUAUGUGUAAGUAACUAUGCACAUCUUGACGGUACCUAAUCAGAAAGCCACGGCUAACUACGUG